rnacentral:misc_RNA from 1 species
CACCACUCAAGCCUCGCUUGGUAUUGGGCGACGCGGUACGCCGCGCGCCUCAAAUCUUCCGGCUGGUUCGAAUCGUCCCUCAGCGUUGUGGAAACUAUUCGCUAGAAGGUGCGCGUUUCGGUCACGCCGUUAAACAAACCAAAUUCAUUAAA